CGCCCGAAGUUUUGAAGCUUUUGUUGUAGUUUGACACUACUUGGAUAGAUGGCGCUAGUACCCUUCGCGCCAUUUGGUUUGUUGUGCACGUGCUUCAGUUUUGAAUCUUGCGCGACAGCUGACAGCGUUGUAGCUUCAAACGUGCAAGUUUCCCAUCCAUGCAAUUCAAAGGUUGACAAGAAAAGACGAGGAGACGGCAGACACAGGACAACCCCUCGGAACGUUAGAGCUGCCAGUCCAGCGGUAAUAAGGUGAAGGCCGACAUUGCAACCAAGGCUCCAGGACUUCACAGAAAGGAGUGGAUGGUAUAGCCUAGUAUAGUAUAGAUGGAAAUGGAUAAACUUCCUCACCGG